rnacentral:misc_RNA from 1 species
AAAGAAUUAUUUUGGGGAGAUACAGGUUAGUUCAUUGGGAUGAUAGUCAUUUCUCUGUUGAGAUGAUGGCUUUGAUUCUCAUAUAUUAAUAUAUUAAUUCCAAUAGAAAUGUAACGUUGAAUGCAUAGAUUUAGGCAGCAUGGGGUGCUCUGGACCAAUGAUCUGAAACUGCUAAUAUUGACAAUCAGAUUCUACAAUUAUAAAGCUUGUAA